rnacentral:rRNA from 1 species
GAUGAACGCUGGCGGCGUGCCUAAUACAUGCAAGUCGAGCGAACAGACGAGGAGCUUGCUCCUCUGACGUUAGCGGCGGACGGGUGAGUAACACGUGGAUAACCUACCUAUAAGACUGGGAUCACUUCGGGAAACCGGAGCUAAUACCGGAUAAUAUAUUGAACCGCAUGGUUCAAUAGUGAAAGACGGUUUUGCUGUCACUUAUAGAUGGAUCCGCGCCGCAUUAGCUAGUUGGUAAGGUAACGGCUUACCAAGGCAACGAUGCGUAGCCGACCUGAGAGGGUGAUCGGCCGCACGGGAACGGAGACACGGUCCAGACUCCUACGGGAGGCAGGAGUAGGGAAUCUUCCGCAAUGGGCGAAAGCCUGACGGAGCAACGCCGCGUGAGUGAUGAAGGUCUUCGGAGCGUAAAACUCUGUUAUUAGGGAAGAACAAAUGUGUAAGUUACUAUGCACGUCUUGACGGUACCUAAUCAGAAAGCCACGGCUAACUACGUG